UUGAUUUGUGUCAUUAUAGCACUCCUAUCAUGACACUUAUUAGCAAUUCAAUAAUAUAUAGUCUAAUUUUUUUUAUUUUAUUAGAUAUAAAAAUAAUAAUGUGCCUUUAGACUAUCUAACAUGACACUUGAGAAAAAUGUGAGAUAUACCAAAAAAAAAAGAAAGACACUAAACGGCAUCGUUUGAUUUUGGUGGAAGAUUCAUUCGCUCUAAAACACUCAAAAUUUUCAUUCUGCCGGCCAAAACACUUACUCAAAACACUUGCUCAAAAUUUUCAUUUUCCAGCUCCACCAUUUCCAGCCCCCCUCUCUCUGUUGUCAGAUUCCGAUGUAGUUGGUGGGAAAAAUGGGUAGCAGCCAAGCAGCAGUUUCCAUAAAGCUUCAACCGUGGCUCCCUCAGGCAGCUAACAGCAGCAUCAGCAACAAAAUCUCUCUCGAAGGAAACCCACUUCCAGGCUGAGACCUCUUUCUCAUGGAAGUUUCAACAUACAUCUGCUUUCUCCAUUCUUCAGUCCGCAGACAACCACACUGAGCAGCCAACCAAUCGUCAUAUUCGAACUGGCGAUAUAAAACAACGCAUCAGUUGAGUUGGGCAGAAAUUAAAAACUCUAGCCUAGGUCCAUGGAAAAGCAAGUGCAAAGAGGGUCACACUGGUGAAAGAUGACAAUGAAGAGCUGCAGCGAAAUCAAAUCAGCAGGAGACCACACUUUUGGAUUACAUCAGGAAAAGCAAGGUGGCAGCAUCUGAAGCAGGUGGAAUUACUCAAGGCAUGGGGGCAUACAAGGUACAAGUACCUUUUGAUGGCAAGCCACAGACUUGUGUUUUCCUUGACACCC